rnacentral:rRNA from 1 species
CCUACGGGAGGCAGCAGUGGGGAAUAUUGCACAAUGGGGGAAACCCUGAUGCAGCGACGCCGCGUGGAGGAUGACGGCCUUCGGGUUGUAAACUCCUUUUGUCAGGGACAAUGGUGAUGGUACCUGACGAAUAAGCCACGGCUAACUCUGUGCCAGCAGCCGCGGUAAGACAGAGGUGGCGAGCGUUGUUCGGAAUUACUGGGCUUAAAGGGCGCGUAGGCGGUGGUGUAAGUCUGGGGUGGAAUGCUACAGCUCAACUGUAGAGCUGCCUUGGAAACUGCAUUACUUGAGUCGGUGAGGGGAAGGCGGAAUUCCUGGUGUAGCGGUGAAAUGCGUAGAUAUCAGGAGGAAGGUCUGUGGCGAAGGCGGCCUUCUGGCACUUGACUGACGCUGAGGCGCGAAAGCGUGGGGAGCAAACAGGAUUAGAUACCCCAGUAG